rnacentral:rRNA from 1 species
GAGUUUGAUCCUGGCUCAGAAUCAACGCUGGCGGUGUGCCUAACACAUGCAAGUCGAACGCGAAAGUCAGCCUUCGGGCCGACGAGUAGAGUGGCGAACGGGUGAGUAACGCGUGGGUGACCUGCCCCGGAGAGGGGGAUAACCCGCCGAAAGGCGGGCUAAUACCGCAUAAACCUGUGGCUUCGAUGACCACAGGCAAAGGGAUCUUCGGAUUCGCUUUGGGAGGGGCCCGCGUUCGAUUAGCCAGCUGGUGAGGUAACGGCUUACCAGGGCAAUGAUCGAUAGCCGGUCUGAGAGGACGGACGGCCACACUGGGACUGAGACACGGCCCAGACUCCUACGGGAGGCAGCAGUGGGGAAUUUUGGGCAAUGGGGGAAACCCUGACCCAGCAACACCGCGUGCAGGAUGAAGGUCUUCGGAUCGUAAACUGCUGUCUGAAGGGACGAAGAAGUGACGGUACCUUCAGAGGAAGCCCCGGCUAACUCCGUGCCAGCAGCCGCGGUAAUACAAGGG